CAUCGCGACGCUCACUGCUCUCUCCGGUCGGCCGCUGCACCGCGCCGUCGUCCUCAAACCCUCCUGCCGCCCCCACAGCACCCAUCCCCCCCCCCCCCCCCCCCCCCCCCCCCCCCCCCCCCCCCCCCCCCCCCCCCCCCCCCCCCCCCCCCCGAGAUCGAACCCUCUACACCACCAAGGUGCUCCAUCCCCACCCCGUCACCAAGAACUCCGGCCUCUUCGUCAUCCUGGGUGCCGGGCAGAUCCCGGGGAAGACUAUGUCGGACGUGGAGAAGCACUUCCCACGCUAUCUUGCUCCUCCACUGCCGGCCCCACGUCGUCCUGCCUACCAGUGCCCCCCACGCGGCCCUGCUCCCCGCCGUUGCCCCCUCCAGGUUGCCGGCGGCGGAGAUUUAUGUCCGUGCGAACAUCCCGAUCGGAAACAUCAGUGCCAGUGGGUUCUUCUUCAGAGACCAUCCAUUUGACGUUCUGCCCCGAGUCCCGAUGACCUUCUUAUGUGCGGAUGUCAAAAGACAUGCCUUCUUUGUACCAUUCGCGAGACCAAACAGUGCCUGACAAAAGAAGGCAGCCAAACCUACUAACCAGCGGGAUCCGAAUGAUGUGUGGAUUUCCAAAAGGAAGAAGAAGGCCAUUCACAAGACCACGACCACUGAUGGCAAGAUCACGACCUUGAAAAUGGUAGUAAUGAACACCAUUCUUGGUAUCGAAGAGGUCAACAUUGUCAAGGAUGACUUAGUUAUCCAAUUUCAGAAUUCGAAAUGUGAAAUGUUGACAUGUUAUACCAUUACUUCUAUAGAAUUGAGGAUCCACUUAAACAUUUCUUCUAACAUUGGUGAUUCUUGAUUUCUCCCAGUGCAAACAUCCAUCACAACACAUGGGUAGUCACUGGAACACCUCCGUUGAAAAGUAACUCUUGCUUUAGAAUCUUCAUGGCUUAAUUGUUUCGUCGAGUAGCCUUAUUUUUCUGGAGCAACAUAAAUAUCUUUAAGAUAUGUCAAACUGCUUUCGCAGGCAGUGAUCUGAAUUUUAUUUGUACAUCUACUUUUAAGUUUGAUGGGUAUGUAAAUAUUAUUAAUGUACAUGGCAUAAUAUGAUAUCCACUUGAACUCCUUGUCAAUAUUCAAUAUCAAAGUUGAAUAUGUCCGCCUUGCCCCAAACUCCACAGUCUUAGUCACUGCAAUUUAACUUUAUUUAUAUAUGCAAUAAAAGUAGUUGAAAACCAAACUGGUAAAUUCUAGUUGUACCAUAUUUGUUCUUUGAGAGUUGCACUACAUUCUUUGACUUGACAUAACUGCAAUUUCACCUUUGGCCCUUUAUUUUUGACAGAGCUGCAAGCUAUGUUUUUAAGGCGGUAAGGCGAGGCGAGGCGCUGGAGGGGCGCCUCACUGCCUAAGCGGAGCUAGUCAUCCAUGGUGGCAACGACAUCGGGAAGAUCUCACCUUGCUUUUUUACUUGGAUUUAUAGCCUGGGUUUGUUGGUGAAGUAAUGAUCGAAGGAGAUAUUAAAUUGUUGUCUGUGGUAGCAAAUGGCUUGCCUACAACAGAGGACUUUGAGCAUGUCACUGAUUUGGAAAUAUUGAAGGUUCCACCUGUCCCCAUGGAUAAAUUCCUUUAUCUUUUUAUUGGGUUAAUCUCUACAGCAAAUAAUUUUAAACGUAGAAUAGUGGUUCGUAGAACUGGGGUAUCAUGCGUGGGUAGUGACCACCUUAUUGAAGAUCCUUCUUCCUGUUUUGAUUGCAUUUUCAUUCACUAUGUACUUGGUUACACCUUGUCACAAGACAACACUCUUCAAAAUUUUGUCAAAACUCUUCUUGUGUUCUGUUUAUUCUAGAAUUACAGCUCCUCACUUCAUGGUCAAUACUUAUGUGCCUCUUUUGCUGCCUUUGAUAAAAUCAUAAAAAUGAGGUGGUGAACGAGGAGCUCUGGAAUGAAGCACAGACAUAUGGAGACAUCAAGUUGCUGCUGUUUGUUGAUUAUUAUAACAAGUGGAAUGGCAAGUUAUCCCCCAUGGGCAAUAGACCAGGAUAAAUUGUAUGUCAGGAUAUAGCAAAAGAAGUUUACAGGAAACACAAAAGAGGGGAGCAAAAGAUUUUCAAGCUGGAGGAUGUCCUCCAAGAUGAAGAAUGAAAGCUUUGAUGUCAAGUAUGAGAACGAUGCAAGGAUCUUUUUCGAAGGCUAUGCGGAUGGGCAUGUAGUUGCUUCCCCACUAGUAGGAGCCAAGGCAGACAAUGUGCCUUUUAGACAAAUUCUAGAAAACAAAACAAGGAUUUUUUGCUCUCAGACAAUGAACCAUAACGUUUCCUUUAUUUAAUUACUUACAUUGGUUUAUAGGAAA